rnacentral:lncRNA from 1 species
CUCGUCCUCCCUUUGCGGAGGCUGCUCUCCUCCUGUGGAGGGCGCGUUUCCAGCCCAGGACCCCAGCGGCAGGCAGCGGCGGCACCACUGAGGUUCUUGCUGUGGAGCUCCCAAUCUUGCAGUGAUCCUCCUGUCUCAGCCUUCCAAGUGCUGGGAUUACAGGCAUGUCCCACCACACCCAGCUCUGGAAGGAAGGUGUUGCUGAAGUUGAAGGACAGUCUUCUCAGCUAACUCGCAAGAGGCCAGAGCUCAUUGCUAAUUUUGUGACUGGCGAAAAGCAGAAGAGGGAGACAAACCCUAAAACACGAAAACCUUCCUCCCCCUGGUUCCUCUGAGUUGAGCUGCUGUUGUUCACAGCUACUUCGUUUCUCUUCAGCCCCAGUUGUGGAUUACAUCAGAGGAUUUUAGUUCUGAGAAAAAUGGAAGAAAUAUGAUUACCUAGAAAGGGAGAUUUUUAUCUUCAAGUGAUUGAAAAGUUUUCUGAAUUGUUCAAAGGAGAAAUAAAAAUCACAUAAUGGUAUAAU